GUCGGAAGUUGGGUUUGUUUGCCAAUCUGCCUCAGUACUUUGGUGAGUCAUGUUUAUGUGACAGGAAACUUUUAAUAUCCCCCACACCGCAACUACUAUCAUCUGUAGGUCGGAGAAGGCCUUUGACAAGGUGCCACACAUGAGGCUGCUAAACAAGAAAAGAACCCUGGUAUCACAGAAAAGAUACUAGUAUGGACAGCAGAAUGACUGAUGGCAGAAGGCAAAGAAUGGAAAUAAAGGGGCCUUUUCAGAAACCCGUGCACAUCAAUCAGGUCUGACAGGAAGAAGAUGAUUCUGAUCAAGACAGACUGUCACUCUACUAAUGAUGCUGCAUACAAUGAAGAGGAUAACGUAGAAGUAGGAUCUGCAUAUGGUGAGGCAUGAGUAACUUGCAAGAUUACAGAAGCCAAGGAUUUCAUGAAUGCCAGCUUGCUGGUGGACAAGCUAGCACGAGGAAACUUGCAGAUGCUGGAAAUUCAAACAACACACACAAAAUGCUGGUGGAACACAGCAGGCCAGGCAGCAUCUAUAAGGAGAAGCAUUGUCGACAUUUCGGGCCGAGACCCUUCGUCAGGACUAACUGAAAGGAAAGAUAGUUGACAGCUGGCUGACGUUAUUUUUGGUUUGCUGCUGGCGGACAAUUUACGUUCGGCGUUUUUCAUAAAUACAGGAAGGACUCAAGUAGACGUUGAGUAUUUUACUUUAAUGUAACCUUCAACCCAACAUCUUUUUUUCAGAGUUCAACAGGUUUUUGUUGCAUGCAGAAAUGUAAUUUCACUUUCUCUGCAGGAGUUCAUCAAUUUCAUAAAUGCAACACAUUAUAAUCUGUUUAUCCAUAGCAUAAAGGCAAAAAAAAACAUUGUAUGCAGUGUUAUUUCAUUUAUCAUUUUAAAUGUCAAAUGGGUUUUUUGGCUCCCAGUGUUUUCUUUUCUGUGGGAAACGGGUCCAAAUGGCUCUUUCAGUGGUAAAGGUUGCUGACCCCUGUUCUAGCCCAACCUCUUUCUCAGGAGCUUUAAACUUCUUUCAUUUAUAAUUUUUCCCAAUUCCUAUAAGAGGUAAUUUACUUAAAAAUGUAAUAGGUACAGGAGUAAACCAUUUGGUCACCCAAACCUCUCUACCAUUCGACAAGGGUAUGGCUGGCCUUCUACCCUAAAUGUUGCUUUCCGACCCUAUCCUUAUAAUCCUUGACUCCUCUAAUAGCCAGCAAUGGUAACAAUGGGAGGUUUUAAAUGUGUAUAAAGACAUGGCAGAAACAAGUAGAGAUAUCCAAUAAUUAACUUUUGCAAAAUCGUUUGUACCUUUAAAUCUUCAGCUGGUUAGUAUGUUUCUGCAUAUGAGUGCUUGUUCUGCCAGACAAGAUUAAGAGAGGACGUUUGCUGAAAUCUGAACUCUAGAAUGUUAGCAGUUCAAAUUUCAAGUAAGUUUAUUGUUAAAGUACAUAUAUGUCACCAUAUAAAACCCUGAGAUUCAUUUUCUUGCAGGCAUACUCAGUAAAUCCAUAAAGGAAUAAUAACCGUAAUAAAAUCAAUAUAAGACCGCACCAACUUAGUCGUUCAACCAGUGUGCAAAAGACAACAAACUGUACAAAUACAGAAAGAAACAAAUAGUAGUAAUAAAUAAAUAAGCAAUAAAAAUGAAGAAACCUUGAAAGUGAAACUUUGGUUGUGGGUACAUUUCAAUAUGGGGCAAGUGAAGUUAGAGUAAAGUUACCCCUUUGGUUCAAGAGCCUGAUGACUGAGGGGUAAUAACUGUUCCUGAACCUGGUGGCAUGAGUUCAGAGGCUCCAGGACCUUCUUAUGAAUGGCAGCAGCAAGAAGAGAGCAUGACCUGGGUGAUGGAGUCCCUGGUGAUAGAUGCUCCUUUCCUGUGACGAAUCUUCAUGUAGACAGGCUUAAUGGUGGGGAGGGCUUUACCCAUGAUAGACUGGAUUGUAUCCACUCCUUUUUGUAAGAUUUUCCAUUCAACGGCAUUGGUGUUUCCAUGCUAGGCUGUGAUGCAGCUGGCUGAUAUACUCUCCACUACACAUCUAUAGAUGUUAGUCAAAGUUUCAGAUGUCAUGCUCCUAAGGAUGUAGAGAUGCUACCAGGCUUUCUUCAUUAAUUGCACUUACA